GUUGUAUGGUUAAGUGACUAAGCGUACAUGGUGGAUGCCUUGGCAGUCAGAGGCGAUGAAGGACGUACUAACCUGCGAUAAGCCGUGAGCAGUCGGUAAGAGACAUUACGACUCACGGAUUUCCGAAUGGGGAAACCCACUUAGCAUAAGCUAGGUAUCGCUACGUGAAUACAUAGCGUAGCGAGGCGAACCGGGAGAACUGAAACAUCUAAGUACCCCGAGGAAAAGAAAUCAACCGAGAUUCCCUCAGUAGCGGCGAGCGAACGGGGAUUAGCCCUUAAGCAUCUUGGAAGUUAGUGGAACGGUCCUGGAAAGGCCGGCGAUACAGGGUGAUAGCCCCGUACACGAAAACAACCUUGAUGUGAAAUCGAGUAGGGCGGGACACGUGACAUCCUGUCUGAAUAUGGGGGGACCAUCCUCCAAGGCUAAAUACUCCUGACUGACCGAUAGUGAACCAGUACCGUGAGGGAAAGGCGAAAAGAACCCCUGUGAGGGGAGUGAAAUAGAACCUGAAACCGUGUACGUACAAGCAGUGGGAGCCCUUCGGGGUGACUGCGUACCUUUUGUAUAAUGGGUCAGCGACUUACAUUUUGUAGCGAGGUUAACCGUAUAGGGGAGCCGUAGGGAAACCGAGUCUUAACUGGGCGUCUAGUUGCAAGGUGUAGACCCGAAACCGGGUGAUCUAGCCAUGGGCAGGUUGAAGGUUGAGUAACAUCAACUGGAGGACCGAACCCACUAACGUUGCAAAGUUAGGGGAUGACCUGUGGCUGGGGGUGAAAGGCCAAUCAAACUCGGAGAUAGCUGGUUCUCCCCGAAAGCUAUUUAGGUAGCGCCUCGGACGAAUACUACUGGGGUAGAGCACUGUUUGGGCUAGGGGGUCAUCCCGACUUACCAACCCCAUGCAAACUCCGAAUACCAGUAAGUAAUAUCCGGGAGACACACGGCGGGUGCUAACGUCCGUCGUGAAGAGGGAAACAACCCAGACCGCCGGCUAAGGUCCCAAAGUUCUGGUUAAGUGGGAAACGAUGUGGGAAGGCUCAGACAGCUAGGAUGUUGGCUUAGAAGCAGCCAUCAUUUAAAGAAAGCGUAAUAGCUCACUAGUCGAGUCGGCCUGCGCGGAAGAUGUAACGGGGCUCAAACCAGGCACCGAAGCCGCGGAUUCACGCUAAGCGUGAGUGGUAGGGGAGCGUUCUGUAAGUCUGCGAAGGUGUGUCGAGAGGCAUGCUGGAGAUAUCAGAAGUGCGAAUGCUGACGUAAGUAACGAUAAAGGGGGUGAAAAGCCUCCUCGCCGGAAGACCAAGGGUUCCUGUCCAACGUUAAUCGGGGCAGGGUGAGUCGACCCCUAAGGCGAGGCCGAAAGGCGUAGUCGAUGGGAAGCAGGUUAAUAUUCCUGCACGACUUGUAAUUGCGAUGGGGGACGGAGAAGGCUAGGUGGGCCAGGCGACGGUUGUCCUGGUGAAAGUGCGUAGGUGGUGUUUCUAGGCAAAUCCGGAGACACAACACUGAGACACGAGACGAACACACUACGGUGUGGAAGCCAUUGAUGCCCUGCUUCCAGGAAAAGCCUCUAAGCUUCAGAUUACAAGUCAUCGUACCCCAAACCGACACAGGUGGUCGGGUAGAGAAUACCAAGGCGCUUGAGAGAACUCGGGUGAAGGAACUAGGCAAAAUAGAACCGUAACUUCGGGAGAAGGUUCGCUCUUGACAGUGAAGUCCCUUGCGGAUGGAGCAGUUGGGAGUCGCAGUGACCAGAUGGCUGGGACUGUUUAUCAAAAACACAGCACUCUGCAAACACGAAAGUGGACGUAUAGGGUGUGACACCUGCCCGGUGCCGGAAGGUUAAUUGAUGGGGUUAGCGCAAGCGAAGCUCUUGAUCGAAGCCCCGGUAAACGGCGGCCGUAACUAUAACGGUCCUAAGGUAGCGAAAUUCCUUGUCGGGUAAGUUCCGACCUGCACGAAUGGUGUAACCAUGGCCAUGCUGUCUCCACCCGAGACUCAGUGAAAUCGAAUUCGCCGUGAAGAUGCGGUGUACCCGCGGCUAGACGGAAAGACCCCGUGAACCUUUACUACAGCUUGGCACUGAACAUUGAACCUACAUGUGUAGGAUAGGUGGGAGGCUUUGAAGGCGUGACGCCAGUUGCGCUGGAGCCGUCCUUGAAAUACCACCCUUGUAUGUUUGAUGUUCUAACGCAGGCCCGUGAAUCCGGGUCGCGGACAGUGCCUGGUGGGUAGUUUGACUGGGGCGGUCUCCUCCCAAAGAGUAACGGAGGAGCACGAAGGUUGGCUAAUCCUGGUCGGACAUCAGGAGGUUAGUGCAAUGGCAUAAGCCAGCUUAACUGCGAGACGGACAGGUCGAGCAGGUACGAAAGUAGGUCAUAGUGAUCCGGUGGUUCUGAAUGGAAGGGCCAUCGCUCAACGGAUAAAAGGUACUCCGGGGAUAACAGGCUGAUACCGCCCAAGAGUUCAUAUCGACGGCGGUGUUUGGCACCUCGAUGUCGGCUCAUCACAUCCUGGGGCUGAAGUCGGUCCCAAGGGUAUGGCUGUUCGCCAUUUAAAGUGGUACGCGAGCUGGGUUCAGAACGUCGUGAGACAGUUCGGUCCCUAUCUGCCGUGGGCGUUGGAUGAUUGAAGGGAGUUGCUCCUAGUACGAGAGGACCGGAGUGAACGAACCUCUGGUGUUCGGGUUGUCACGCCAGUGGCACUGCCCGGUAGCUAAGUUCGGAAUCGAUAACCGCUGAAAGCAUCUAAGCGGGAAGCGAGCCCUGAGAUGAGUCAUCCCUGACCCCUUGAGGGUCCUAAAGGGCCGUUGGAGACCACAACGUUGAUAGGUGGGGUGUGUAAGCGCGGCGACGUGUUGAGCUAACCCAUACUAAUUACCCGUGAGGCUUAACCAUACAACACCCAAGAAGUGUU
rnacentral:rRNA from 1 species